rnacentral:rRNA from 1 species
GACGAACGCUGGCGGCGUGCCUAAUACAUGCAAGUCGAACGCAGUGGGGACUGGUGAGUAACACGUGGGUAACCUCCAAUCAGAGGGGAUAACACUUGGAAACAGGUGCUAAACCGAUACUGAUGGAUGGUCCCGCGGUGCCUUAGCUAGUUGGGGAGGUAACGGCUCACAAAGGCAACGAUGAGUAGCCGCCCUGAGAGGGUGAUCGGCCACACUGGAACUGAGACACGGCCCAGACUCCUACGGGAGGCAGCAGUGGGGAAUCUUCGACAAUGGACGAAAGUCUGACCGAGCAACGCCGCGUGAGUGAAGAAGGUUUUCGGAUCGUAAAGCUCUGUUGUUAGAGAAGCGGUAUCUAACCAGAAAGCCACGGCUAACUACGUGCCAGCAGCCGCGGUAAUAC